GCAGCUGCGCCCCCGAGAAUCAUUUGAAACGGCAUUUCCACACGGGACAGCUCUCGGCAUACUACGUUGAUAACGUCUUACACAUAAGGUAACGUCGUACACAUAAGGAAUCAGUAUGGACAAGCAAGCCACGAGCCUGAUCGUAAACUACGGGAUUUUAAUUGUGUUGCUGCUGAUUCUCUGGGUGCUCUAUACCGGAAUGUAAUGGCUGGGGAAAAUUUCCAUUCAAGAUGUGAUCACAAAUCAGAGGUGUGAUGAUGCCACUCCCGUCACGUCCUGUCCGUCCAAGUCCUGUCACGUUUUUUUGGACAAGCCAAAAGUAGUCACUGGGGGCGUGUGCCAGCUCGACCUCCCAGGAUUGACAACGAUUGCCAGCACACAGACAUCUUACCCGGAUGACUGUACGACAGGCCAAGUUAUCCGCUGGAGUGAGCAGGUUCAAGGCACCUUCUAAACAAUUAAGCGAGCUAUAGCAUGUUGUGAUCAGCCACACCACUUUACAUAUUCAAAUUAACAUUGUAUAACCAUGUAUUAAAAAUUCAGUCACUGUAGAAGCGCAUCUUUCAUGCUACAUUGUGUAAUUUUUGUUUACCAGUGUGAUUUAAAAUAUGCUAUGGCAUCUAAGCAUUAGGCCAGUGAAUGUGCAAAUCGAGCGACUUUAGAAAGAAUACUUACAAGCCCGCGCUGUGUUCACUUAAUAUUUCUUGUCAAAGUUUCUGUUCAGUUUUAUCUGUUGUGUUACCUCAAUUUAUUUUGUUGUACAAACAGUUUUGAAGUUGUCUAGUCAGUUUGUACUCAUGAAUAUGUAGUAGCAUGAUUGUAUAGAGACAGGUCCCCUGUGUCGAAUGCUUGUUUGGUUUAUAACGUUGCGUACUACGGGAAUAAAACUUUACGAGUGAGUCAUUUAUUAAACCCGAUGUGAAGUGAAACCUCCUUCUGGAACAGAAAAAGCUAAGCGAAACAUUGAGAAAAUUCGGAGGUGAGCAAGAGAGACGGAUGCAGAUGAUAAAAUGCAGUUGACAACUGUGUCAUUUUCUUUUUCACCUUCAAAUAAAUACAGUGUCAGGUACACACCACUGCAAGUGUUGUGAAUACCCUUGUGCACUUCAAACAAAAAAGAAGAAAAAGUGAAUUUCAGAGAGAUUGUGAUAUCUAUAUUACAACACUUUUUGCAAAUGACUUCCUCAAACACAAUGAUGCUCAUGAAGAAUAAUUAUUUAUGUAUAUAAAAUAAAAAAAAGAUAAUAGUAAGCA